rnacentral:lncRNA from 1 species
UGUUUUAGAGUUGUGUUGUGAUAUCUUCCUGUGAGUCCCUGAUCUUGAUCGUACACGUUUGCGUGCAUGAUUAGUGUACGGUCAAAUCGGGGGCGUCACAAUGGAACAAGGAGUGGCAAGAGCCUAAGCUUGGGGAUGCCCAUGGCACCCCCAAGAUAAUGUAAGGACACCUAAAAGCCAAAGCUUGGGGAUGCCCCGGAGGGCAUCCCCUCUUUCGUCUACUUCCAUCGGUAACUUUACUUGGAGCUAUAUUUUUAUUCACCACAUGAUAUGUGUUUGGCUUGGAGCGUCUUGUAUGAUUUGAGUCUUUGCUUUUUAUUUUACCACAAUCAUCUUUGUUGUACACACCUUUUGAGAGAGACACACGUGAUUCGGAAAUUAUUAGAAUACUCUAUGUGCUUCACUUAUAUCUUUUGAGUUAUAUAGUUUUUGCUCUAGUACUUCACUUAUAUCUUUUAGAGCACGGUGGUGGUUUUGUUUUAUAGAAACUAUUAUUCUCUCAUGCUUCACUUAGAUUAUUUUGAGAGUCUUAAACAGCAUGGUAAUUUGCUUAAAUAAUCCUAAUAUGCUAGGUAUUCAAGACUAGUAAAAACUUUCUUAUGAGUGUGUUGAAUACUAAGAGAAGUUUGAUGCUUGAUGAUUGUUUUGAGACAUGGAGGUAGUGAUAUCAAAGUUGUGCUAGUUGAGUAGUUGUGAAUUUGAGAAAUACUUGUGUUGAAGCUUGCAAGUCCCAUAGCAUGCACGUAUGGUAAACGUUAUGUAACAAAUUUGAAACAUGAGGUGUUCUUUGAGUGUCCUCCUUAUGAGUGGCGGUCGGGGACGAGCGAUGGUCUUUUCCUACCAAUCUAUCCCCCUAGGAGCAUGCGCGUAGUGCUUGGUUUUUGAUGACUUGUAGAUUUUUGCAAUAAGUAUGUUAGUUCUUUAUGACUAAUGUUGAGUCCAUGGAUUAUACGCACUCUCACCUUUCCACCAUUGCUAGCCUCUUCGGUACCGUGCAUUGCCCUUUCUCACAUUGAGAGUUGGUGCAACUUCACCGGUGCAUCCAAACCCCGUGAUAUGAUACGCUCUUUCACACAUAAACCUCCUUAUAUCUUCCUCAAAACAGCCACCAUACCUACCUAUUAUGGCAUUUCCAUAGCCAUUCCGAGAUAUAUUGCCAUGCAACUUUCCACCUUUCCGUUUAUCAUGACACGUUCAUCAUUGUCAUAUUGCUUUGCAUGAUCAUGUAGUUGACAUAGUAUGUGUGGCAAAGCCACCAUUCAUAAUUCUUUAUACAUGUCACUCUUGGUUCAUUGCAUAUCCCGGUACACUGCCGGAGGCAUUCAUAUAGAGUCAUACUUUGUUCUAGUAUCGAGUUGUAAUCUUUGAGUUGUAAAUAAAUAGAAGUGUGAUGAUCAUCAUUAAUAGAGCAUUGUCCCAAAAAAAUGCCAAAUAAAAAAAGGGAAGGCCCAAAAAAAGGGGAAAUAAAAAGGGACAAUGCUACUAUCCUUUUUCCACACUUGUGCUUCAAGGUAGCACCAUGAUCUUCAUGAUAGAGAGUCUCUUGUUUUGUCACUUUCAUAUACUAGUGGGAAUUUUUCAUUAUAGAACUUGGCUUGUAUAUUCCAACAAUGGGCCUCCUCAAGUGCCCUAGGUCUUCAUGAGCAAGCAAGUUGGAUGGACACUGAUGUCUACUACGCAACCUUCUUCUUGUAGACGUUGUUGGGCCUCCAAGUGCAGAGGUUUGUAGGACAGUAGCAAAUUUCCCUCAAGUGGAUGACCUAAGGUUUAUCAAUCCGUGGGAGGCACAGGAUGAAGAUGGUCUCUCUCAAGCAACCCCGCAACCAAAUAACAAAGAGUCUCUUAUGUCCCCAACACACCCAAUACAAUGGUAAAUUGUAUAGGUGCACUAGUUCGGCGAAGAGAUGGUGAUACAAGUGCAAUAUGGAUGGUAGAUAUAAGUUUUUGUAAUAUGAAAAUAUAAAAACAGCAAGGUAACUAUUGAUAAAAGUGAGCGUAAACGGUAUUGCAAUGCUAGGAAACAAGGCCUAGGGUUCAUACUUUCACUAGUGCAAGUUCUCUCAACAAUAAUAACAUAAUUGGAUCAUAUAAAUAUCCCUCAACAUGCAACAAAGAGUCACUCCAAAGUCACUAAUAGCGGAGAACAAACGAAGAGAUUAUGGUAGGGUACGAAACCACCUCAAAGUUAUUCUUUCCGAUCAAUCCAUUGGGCUAUUCCUAUAAGUGUCACAAACAGCCCUAGAGUUCGUAGUAAAAUAACACCUUAAGACACACAUCAACCAAAACCCUAAUGUCACCAAGAUACUCCAAUGUCACCUCAAGUAUCCGUGGGUAUGAUUAUACGAUAUGCAUCACACAAUCUCAUAUUCAUCUAUUCAACCAACAUAAAGUACUUCAAAGAGUGCCCCAAAGUUUCUACCAGAGAGUCAAGAAGAAAACGUGUGCCAACCCCUAUGCAUAGGUUCAUGGGCGGAACCCGCAAGUUGAUCACCAAAACAUACAUCAAGUGAAUCACGUGAUAUCCCAUUGUCACCACAGAUACACACAUGCAAGACAUACAUCAAGUGUUCUCAAAUCCUUAAAGACUCAAUCCGAUAAGAUAACUUCAAAGGGAAAACUCAAUCCAUUACAAGAGAGUAGAGGGGGAGAAACAUCAUAAGAUCCAACUAUAAUAGCAAAGCUCGCGAUACAUCAAGAUCGUAUCACCUCAAGAACACGAGAGAGAGAGAGAGAGAGAGAGAGAUCAAACACAUAGCUACUGGUACAUACCCUCAGCCCCGAGGGUGAACUACUCCCUCCUCGUCAUGGAGAGCGCCGGGAUGAUGAAGAUGGCCACCGGUGAGGGAUCCCCCCUCCGGCAGGGUGCCGGAACAGGGUCCCGAAUGGUUUUUGGUGGCUACAGAGGCUUGCGGCGGCGGAACUCCCGAUCUAUUCUGUUCCCUGAAGAUUUUAGGGUAUAUGGAGAUAUAUAGGCGAAAGAAGUCGGUAAGGGGAGCCACGAGGGGCCCACGAGGGUGGAGGGCGCGCCCAGGGGGUGGGCGCGCCCCCCUGCCUCGUGUCUUCCUCGUUGCUUCCCUUACGUACACUCCAAGCCUUCUGGAUUGCUUCCAUUCAAAAAAUAACUCUCCCGAAGGUUUCAUUCCGUUUGGACUCCGUUUGAUAUUCCUUUUCUUCGAAACACUGAAACAAGGGAAAAAACAGGAACUGGCACUGGGCUCUGGGUUAAUAGGUUAGUCCCAAAAAUAAUAUAAAAGUGUAUAAUAAAGUCCAUAAACAUCCAAAACAGAAUAUAUAAUAGCAUGGAACAAUCAAAAAUUAUAGAUACGUUGGAGACGUAUCACACACCCACUUAGUUUUUUUUGUUGAGCUUUCAUAUAUUUAUAGCUCUAGUGCAUCCGUUGCAUGGCAAUCCCUACUCCUUGCAUUAACAUCAAUCGAUGGGCAUCUCCAUAGCUCAUUGAUUAGCCUCGUUGAUGUGAGACUUUCUCCCUUUUUGUCUUCUCCACAUAACCCCCAUCAUUAUAUUCUAUUCCACCCAUAGUGCUAUAUCCAUGGCUCACGCUCAUGUAUUGCGUGAAAGUUGAAAAGGUUUGAGAUUACUAAAGUAUGAAACAAUUGCUUGGCUUGUCAUCGGGGUUGUGCAUGAUGAGAGCAUUCUUGUGUGACAAAAAUGGAGCAUGACUAAACUAUAUGAUUUUGUAGGGAUGAACUUUCUUUGGCCAUGUUAUUUUGAGAAGACAUAAUUGCUUAGUUAGUAUGCUUGAAGUAUUAUUAUUUUUAUGUCAAUAUUGAAAUUUUAUCUUGAAUCUUUCGGAUCUGAAUAUUCAUACCACAAUUAAGAACAAUUACAUUGAAAUUAUGCCAAGUAGCAUUCCACAUAAAAAAUUCUGUUUUUAUCAUUUACCUACUCGAGGACGGGCAGGAAUUAAGCUUGGGGAUGCUUGAUACGUCUCCAACGUAUCUAUAAUUUUUUAUUGCUCCAUGCUAUAUUAUAUUCUGUUUUGGAAAUUAUUGGGCUUUAUUAUACACUUUUAUAUUAUUUUUGGGACUAACCUAUUAACCGGAGGCCCAACCCAGAAUUGCUGUUUUUUGCCUAUUUCAGAGUUUCGCAGAAAAAGAAUAUCAAACGGAGUCCAAACGGAAUGAAACCUUCGGGAACGUGAUUUUUGAAACGAACGUGAUCCAAAGGACUUGGACCCUACGUCAAGACAUCAACCAGGAGGGCACGAGGUAGGGGGGUGCGCCUACCCUCCUAGGCGCGCCCUCCACCCUCGUGGGCCCCCUGUUGCUCCACCGACGUACUCCUUCCUCCUAUAUAUACCUACGUACCCCCAAACUACCAGAUACGGAGCUAAAACCCUAAUUCCACCGCCGCAACCUUCUGUACCCGUGAGAUCCCAUCUUGGGGCCUUUUUCGGAGCUCCGCCGGAGGGGGCAUCGAUCACGGAGGGCUUCUACAUCAACACCAUAGCCUCUCCGAUGAUGUGUGAGUAGUUUACCUCAGACCUUCGGGUCCAUAGUUAUUAGCUAGUUGGCUUCCCCUCUCUUUUUGGAUCUCAAUACAAUGUUCUCCCCCUCUCUCGUGGAGAUCUAUUCGAUGUAAUCUUCUUUUGCGGUGUGUUUGUUGAGACCGAUGAAUUGUGGGUUUAUGAUCAAGUUUAUCUAUGAACUAUAUUUGGAUCUUCUCUGAAUUCUUUUAUGUAUGAUUUGUUAUAUUUGCAAGUCUCUUCGAAUUAUCAGUUUGGUUUGGCCUACUAGAUUGAUCUUUCUUGCAAUGGGAGAAGUGCUUAGCUUUGGGUUCAAUCUUGCGGUGUCCUUUCCCAGUGGCAGUAGGGGAAGCAAGGCACGUAUUGUAUUGUUGCCAUCGAGGAUAACAAGAUGGGGUUUAUAUCAUAUUGCAUGAGUUUAUCCCUCUACAUCAUGUCAUCUUGCUUAAAGCAUUACUCUGUUCUUAUGAACUUAAUACUCUAGAUGCAUGCUGGAUAGCGGUCGAUGUGUGGAGUAAUAGUAGUAGAUGCAGGCAGGAGUCGGUCUACUUGUCUCGGAUGUGAUGCCUAUAUACAUGAUCAUACUAGAUAUUCUCAUAACUAUGCUCAAUUCUGUCAAUUUCUCAACAGUAAUUUGUUCACCCACCAUAAAUACUUAUGCUCUUGAGAGAAGCCACUAGUGAAACCUAUGGCCCCCGGGUCUAUUUUCCAUCAUAUUAAUCUUCCAACACUUAGUUAUUUUUAUUGCUUUCUAUUUUAAUUUGCAUCUUUAUCAUAAAAAUACCAAAAAUAUUAUAGUUAUUUUUAUUGCUUUCUAUUUUACUUUGCAUCUUUAUCAUAAAAAUAUAUCUAUCAGAUCUCACUCUCGUAAGUGACCGUGUAGGGAUUGACAACCCCUUAUCGCGUUGGUUGCGAGGAUUUAUUUGUUUGUGUAGGUGCGAGGGACUCGUGCGUGGCCUCCUACUGGAUUGAUACCUUGGUUCUCAAAAACUGAGGGAAAUACUUACGCUGCUUUACCGCAUCACCCUUUCCUCUUCAAAGGAAACCAACGCAGUGCUCAAGAGGUAGCAAGGCCCAAAUAAAAAGAUGAGAGAAAAAGAGAGAAGGGACAAUGUUACUAUCCUUUUACCACACGUGUGCUUCAAAGUAGCACCAUGAUCUUCAUUGAUAGAGAGUCUCUUAUGUUGUCACUUUCAUAUGCUAGUGGGAAUUUUACAUUAUAGAACUUGGCUUGUAUAUUCCAAUGAUGGGCUUCCUCAAAUUGCCCUAGGUCUUCAUGAGCAAGCGAGUUGGAUGCACACCCACUUAGUUUCUUUUGUUGAGCUUUCAUACACUUAUAGCUCUAGUGCAUCCGUUGCAUGGCAAUCCCUACUCACUCACAUUGAUCUCUAUUAAUGGGCAUCUCCAUGGCCCGUUGAUACGCCUAGUUGAUGUGAGACCAUCUUCUCCUUUUUUGUCUUCUCCGCAACCACAAUUCUAUUCCACCUAUAGUGUUAUAUCCAUGGCUCACGCUCAUGUAUUGCGUGAAGAUUGAAAAAGUUUGAGAACAUCAAAAGUAUGAAACAAUUGCUUGGCUUGUCAUCGGGGUUGUGCAUGAUUUAAAUACUUUGUGUGGUGAAGAUAGAGCAUAGCCAGACUAUAUGAUUUUGUAGGGAUAACUUUCUUUGGCCAUGUUAUUUUGAGAAGACAUGAUUGCUUUAUUAGUAUGCUUGAAGUAUUAUUAUUUUCAUGUCAAUAUUAAACUUUUAUCUUGAAUCUUUCGGAUCUGAACAUUCGCCACAAUAGAGAAAAUUACAUUAAGGAAUAUGCUAGGUAGCAUUCCACAUCAAAAAUUAUGUUUUUAUCAUUUACCUACUCAAGGACGAGCAGGAAUUAAGCUUUGGGGAUGCUUGAUACGUCUCGAACGUAUCUAUAAUUUUUGAUUGUUCCAUGCUAUUAUAUAUUCUGUUUUGGAUGUUUAAUGGGCUUAUUUAUACACUUUUAUAUUAUUUUUGGGACUAACCUAUUAACCGGAGGCCCAGUCCAAAUUGUUGUUUUUUUUGCCUAUUUCAGUGUUUCGCAGAAAAAGAAUAUCAAACGGAGUCCAAACGGAAUGAAACCUUCGGGAACAUGAUUUUUGGAACAAACAUGAUCCAGACGACUUGGAGUGGACGUCAAGCAACCGACGAGGAGGCCACGAGGCAGGGGGCGCGCCUACCCCCUGGGCGCGCCCUCCACCCUCGUGGGCCCCUCGUGGCUCCACCGACCUACUUCUUCCUCCUAUAUAUACCUACGUACCCCCAAACCAUCGAAGAGCACCACGAAAACCUAAUUCUACCGCCGCAACCUUCUGUACCCGUGAGAUCCCAUCUUGGGGCCUUUUCCGGCGCUCCGCCGGAGGGGGCAUUGAUCACGGAGAGCUUCUACAUCAACACCAUAGCCUCUCCGAUGAUGUGUGAGUAGUUUACCUCAGACCUUCAAGUCCAUAGUUAUUAGCUAGAUGGCUUCUUCUCUCUCUUUGGAUCUCAAUACAAAGUUAUCCUCGAUUCUCUUGAAGAUCUAUUUGAUGUAACUCUUCUUUUUGCGGUGUGUUUGUCGAGAUCCGAUGAAUUGUGGGUUUAUGAUCAAGAUUAUCUAUAAACAGUAUUUGAAUCUCCUCUGAAUUCUUUUAUGUAUGAUUGGUUAUCUUUGCAAGUCUCUUCGAAUUAUCAGUUUGGUUUGGCCUACUAGAUUGAUCUUUCUUGCAAUGGGAGAAGUGCUUAGCUUUGGGUUCAAUCUUGCGGUGCUCGAUCGCAAUGACAGUAGGGGAAACAACAUGUAUUGUAUUGUUGCCAUCGAGGAUAAAAAGAUGGGGUUUAUAUCAUAUUGCAUGAGUUUAUCCCUCUACAUCAUGUCAUCUUGCUUAAAGCGUUACUCUGUUCUUAUGAACUUAAUACUCUAGAUGCAUAGCGGUCGAUGUGUGGAGUAAUAGUAGUAGAUGCAGGCAAGAGUCGGUCUACUUGUCACGGACGUGAUGCCUAAAUACAUGAUCAUACCUAGAUAUUCUCAUAACUAUGCUCAAUUCUAUCAAUUGCUCGAUAGUAAUUUGUUCACCCACCGUAAUACUUAUGCUCUUGAGAGAAGCCACUAGUGAAACCUAUGGCCCCCGGGUCUAUUUUCCAUCAUAUUAAUCUCCCGUCAACAAGCUAUUUCUUUUGCCGUUUAUUUUGCUUUCUUUACUUUUAGUCCUUAUCAUAAAAAUACCAAAAAUAUUAUCUUAUCAUCUCUAUCAGAUCUCACUCUCGUAAGUGACCGUGAAGGGAUUGACAACCCCUUUAUCGCGUUGGUUGCGAGGUGAUAACCCACAAGUAUAGGGGAUCGCAACAGUUUUCGAGGGUAGAGUAUUCAACCCAAAUUUAUUGAUUCGACACAAGGGGAGCCAAAGAAUAUUCUCAAGUAUUAGCACUUGAGUUGUCAAUUCAACCACACCUGGAUAACUUAGUAUCUGCAGCAAAGUAUUUAGUAGCAAAGUAAUAUGGAAGUAACGGUAACGACAGCAAAAGUAAUAUUUUUGGGUUUUGUAGUGAUUGUAACAGUAGCAACGGAAAAGUAAAUAAGCGAAUAACAAUAUGUGAAAAGCUCGUAGGCAUUGGAUCGGUGAUGGAGAAUUAUGCCGGAUGCGGUUCAUCAUGUAACAGUCAUAACAUAAGGUGACACAGAACUAGCUCCAAUUCAUCAAUAUAAUGUAGGCAUGUAUUCCGAAUAUAGUCAUACGUGCUUAUGGAAAAGAAUUUGCAUGACAUCUUUUGUCCUACCCUCCCGUGGCAGCGGGGUCCUAACAGAAACUAAGGGAUAUUAAGGCCUCCUUUUAAUAGAGUACCUGACCAAAGCAUUAACACAUAGUGAAUACAUGAACUCCUCAAACUAUGGUCAUCACCGGGAGUGGUACCGAUUAUUGUCACUUCGGGGUUGCCGGAUCAUAACACAUAGUAGGUGACUAUAGACUUGCAAGAUAGGAUCAAGAACUCACAUAUAUUCAUGAAAACAUAAUAGGUUCAGAUCUGAAAUCAUGGCACUCGGGCCCUAGUGACAAGCAUUAAGCAUAGCAAAGUCAUAGCAACAUCAAUCUCAGAACAUAGUGGAUACUAGGGAUCAAACCCUAACAAAACUAACUCGAUUACAUGAUAAAUCUCAUCCAACCUAUCACCGUCCAGCAAGCCUAUGAGGGAAUUACUCACGCACGGCGGUGAGCAUCAUGAAAUUGGUGAUGUAGGAUGGUUGAUGAUGACGACGGCGACGGAUUCCCCUCUCCGGAGCCCCGAACGGACUCCAGAUCAGCCCUCCCGAGAGGUUUUAGGGCUUGGCGGCGGCUCCAUAUCGUAAAACGCGAUGAAUCCUUCUCUCUAAUUUUUUUCUCCCCGAACACGAAUAUAUGGAGUUGGAGUUGAGGUCGGUGGAGCGUCAGGAGGCCCACGAGGCAGGGGGCGCGCCCAGGGGUGCAGGCGCGCCCCCCACCCUCGUGGACAGGUGGAGGCCCCCCUGACAUGGAUUCUUCUUCCAGUAUUUUUAUUAUUUUCCAAAAAUAAGUUCCGUGGAGUUUCAGGUUAUUCCGAGAACUUUUGUUUCUGCACAUAAAUAACACCAUGGCAAUUCUGCUGAAAACAACGUCGGUCCGGGUUAGUUCCAUCCAAAUCAUGCAAGUUAGAGUCCAAAUCAAGGGCAAAAGUGUUUGGAAAAGUAGAUACGACGGAGACGUAUCAACUCCCCCAAGCUUAAACCUUUGCUUGUCCUCAAGCAAUUCAGUUGAUAAACUGAAAGUGAUAAAGAAAAACUUUUACAAACUCUGUUUGCUCUUGUUGUUGUAAAUAUGUAAAGCCAGCAUUCAAGUUUUCAGCAAAGAUUAUGACUAACCACAUUCACAAUGACAUUUAGGUCUCAUGUUUACUCAUGUCAAUGGCAUAAUCAACUAGCGAGCAAUAAUAAUAAAUCUCGGAUGACAACACUUUCUCAAAACAAUCAUGAUAUGAUAUAACAAGAUGGUAUCUCGCUAGCCCUUUCUGAGACCGCAAAACAUAAAUGCAGAGCACCUUUAAAGAUCAAGGACUGACUAAACAUUGUAAUUCAUGGUAAAAGAGAUCCAGUCAUAGUCAUACCCAGUAUAAAUUAAUAGUAAUGGAUGCAAAUGACAGUGGUGCUCUCCAGCUGGUGCUUUUUAAUAAGAGGGUGAUGACUCGACAUAAAAGUAAAUAGAUAGGCCCUUCGCAGAGGGAAGCAGGGAUUUGUAGAGGUACCAGAGCUCGGUUUUUGAAAUCGAGAUAAAUAAUAUUUUGAGCGGCAUACUUUUAUUGUCAACAUAACAACCAAGAGAUGGCGAUAUCUUCCAUGCUACACACAUUAUAGGCGGUUUCCAAACAGAAUGGUAAAGUUUAUACUCCCCCUCCACCAACAAGCAUCAAUCCAUGGCUUGCUCGAAACAACGAGUGCCUCCAACUAACAACAGUCCGAGGGGGAGUUUUGUUUGCAAUUAUUUUGAUUUAGUUUGCAUAAAGCAUGGGACUGGGCAUCCCGCUGACCAUCCAUUUUCUCGUGAGUGAGGAGCGGAGUCCACUCCUCUUGAGAAUAACCCGCCUCGCAUGGAAGAUAUGGACAACUCUAGUUGAUACAUGAGCUAUUCGAGCAUACAAAACAGAAUUUCAUUUGAAGGUUUAGAGUUUGGCACAUACAAAUUUACUUGGAACGGCAGGUAGAUACCGCAUAUAGGAAGGUAUAGUGGACUCAUAUGGCAUAACCUUGGAGUUUAAGGGAUUGGAUGCAUAAGCAGUAUUCCCGCUUAGUACAAGUGAAGGCUAGCAAAAGACUGGGAAGCGACCAACUAGAGAGCGACAACAGUCAUGAACAUGCAUUAAAAUUAAUAAACAUUGAGUGCAAGCAUGAGUAGGAUAUAAUCCACCAUGAACAUAAAUAUCGUGAAGGCUAUGUUGAUUUGUUUCAACUACAUGUGUGAACAUGUGCCAAGUCAAGUCACUUGAAUCAUUCAAAGGAGGAUACCACCCCACUAUACCACAUCACAACCAUUUUAAUAGCAUGUUGGCACGCAAGGUAAACCAUUAUAACUCAUAGCUAAUCAAGCAUGGCACGAGCAACUAUGAUCUCUAAUUGCCAUUGCAAACAUGUUUAUUCAUAAUAGGCUGAAUCAGGAACGAUGAACUAAUCAUAUUUACAAAAACAAGAGAGGUCGAGUUCAUACCAGCUUCUCUCAUCUCAAUCAGUUCAUCAUAUAUCGUCAUUAUUGCCUUUCACUUGCACGACCGAAUGAUGUGUAUAAUAAUAUUAGUGCACGUGCAUUGGAGUAAGCUGGAAUCUGCGAGCAUUCAAUAAACAGGAGAAGGCAAGGCAAUAUCGGCUCUUGGUUAAAUCAACAAUAAUGCAUAUAAGAGCCACUUCAACAAUUUAAUCAUGGUCUUCUCCUAACGACCCCCAAAGAAAAGAAAAGAAAUAAAACUAUUUACACGGGAAAGCUCCCAACAAGCAAAAGAAGAACGGGAAAUAUUUUUGGGUUUUCUUUUUAAUUAUUACUACUACAGCAAGAAAAGUAAACUAACUAAAAGCUACACUAAUUUUUUUUGAUUUUCUUAAGGUUUAUUAAACACAUAAGAAGAAAGCAAGAAAAAGAAAAUAAACUAGCAUGGAUAUUACAAUGAAAGAGUAUGAGCACCGACAUCUAGCAAUGAGUGUGUGGACAUGAAUGUAAUGUCGGUGAGAAAUACGUACUCCCCCAAGCUUAGGCUUUUGGCCUAAGUUGGUUUAUUGCCACGGAUAGCCUGGCGGAUAUCCAAAGUUAUAACCGGGGUCGUACUGAGAUGAAGAAGACUCUGAUUGCCACUUGUUGGCAAUCAUCUCCGGGUCCCACUGGUAAUUGGACUGUCGUGGAGGUUCAAAUUGUGGUUCCGGCUCCGUGACUGAUGUAGGGUUCCGGGAGGCGUGAAUGGCCGCCAGCGGAACGAGAUACGGACCUGCAGAUAAAUCAAACAAGGAAGGAGCAGGCAAGGUAAUAGUCUCAGGGUGAUGUUUAUCAAAGAACAAUUUGUAUUUAAGCGCCCCUUCCCUAUUCUUAACAAUAAAGUCAUGUGCUACCAUACUCUUAAUCUAAAUAAAUAGUGGGCAUCAAUUUUUCUUCUUUUUCAUAGUGCCUAAUGGGUAUGUUAAGAUGUGCAGCUAGGCGUGAAGCAUAGAUACCUCCAUAGAUGGGACCCUUUGUACGGUUCAGACUUAACCGUUUGGCAAUAAUACCGCCCAUACUAACAGUGUUAUCACAGAAUAACCCAUGGAACAAAAUAAUAAUAUCAGGAACACUAAGGUUUCCACAGUUUCCGCGACCAAUUAAGCAACGACUAGCAAAUAUAGCAAAGUAGCGUAAAACAGGAAGAUGUAUGCUAGUGAUUCUUGCAUCGGAAACCUUCCUAGUUUCCCCUACAGUAAUAGUGUCAAUAAACCCGUCCACAUCUUUACGAUGUGGUUCUUCUAAGCUACCCUCGAAAGGUAUUUUGCAAACCUUGCAAAAUUCAUCUAGUGACAUCUUCUUAACCACAUCAUAUAAAUGAAACUCUACUGAAGGAGGUGAUUCCUUAGGAUAAUAGUAGAAGUUUAGCACGAAAGUAAUGGUGAGUAAGAGAUACUAUUCGCGUUGGUCGCGGAGGAAGUCGGUGAGGCCUGCAUUCUCAGCCAAUUCAUAAAAAUCAUCAUAAAUCUCGGUUGCUCUCAAGAAAUCAUUGGAAGGCCAUUCACACGGCCGGACCUCCGCGGUGCGAGGCAAAUUAUAAUUGGGCCUCUGUGCUUCUUCACUUUGCUUUUCCUUCGAGCUUCGGCUCGAUGAGCCCCUCAAAAAUCUCUUCAUUAUUUUCUGAAAAUUUCUGAAAUUUUUAGUAACUUCAAAUAAAAGUGAACCAAGCUCAACAAAAUUGUUAGCAACUACUCCUACAAGUGCCUAUAGCCUAUAUCAUGCAUUAUAACUACUUGGAACCAUAUAAAUUUGUCAUGCAAGCUCAAGAACAUGGUCACCUAGGCAGCACAAAUUUGCAAUGAAUAAAGCACUAGAACAAAAACUAAUUGGACCAAUGGAGGAGUCACAUACCAAGGAACAAUCCCCUAAAGCAGUUUUGUGAGAGGUGCUUUGAGCAAGGAGAUCGAAAAUCAUAGCAAAAUGAGCUAGAACUUGUGCUUGAGCUGGAUGGUGAUUUUUUUGGGAGGAAGAAGAAGUGUGUGGGUGCAGGAAUAAGUGGAGGGGAGCCACCAUGGGCCCACGAGGCAGGGGGCGCGCCCUGUAGGGGUGGGCGCGCCCUGGACCCUCGUGGCCAGGUGCAUGCUCCCCCUGCUGUGUUCUCAGUGCCAGAUAUUCUCAAAUAUUCCAUAAAAAAUCAUAUUAAAUUGGCAGGGCAUUUGGAGAACUUUUAUUUUUGGGGUAUUUUUAUAUUGCACGGAUAAUUCAGAAAACUGAUAGAAAAAUACUAUUUUUUGCUUUAUUUCAACUAAAUAACAGAAAGUAGAGAGAGGGUACAGAAGGUUGUGCUUUCUAGUUUCAUCCAUCUCAUGCUCAUCAAAAGGAAUCCACUAACAAGGUUGAUCAAGUCUUGUUAACAAACUCAUUCCGACUAACAUGGAACCGGAGAAAUUUUGAAUAACACUAUGUUACCUCAACGGGGAUAUGCACAUCCCCAAUAAUAAGAAUAUCAUAUUUCUUCUUGACAGUAGGAAGAGGAAAUUCAAAACCUCCAAAAAUAAUCGAUGGAACUUUUCCAAUAGAAUUGAUACUGUGGACCUGAGGUUGUUUCCUCGGAAAGUGUACCGUAUGCUCAUUACCAUUAACAUGAAAAGUGUCAUUGCCUUUGUUGCAAUCAAUAACAGCCCCUGCAGUAUUCAAAAAAGGUCUUCCAAGAAUAAUAGACAUACUAUCGUCCUCGGGAAUAUCAAGAAUAACAAAGUCCGUUAAAAUAGUAACGUUUGCAACCACAACAGGCACAUCCUCACAAAUACCGACAGGUAUAGCAGUUGAUUUAUCAGCCAUUUGCAAAGAUAUUUCAGUAGGUGUCAACUUAUUCAAGUCAAGUCUACGAUAUAAAGAGAGGCAUAACACUAACACCGGCUCCAAGGUCACAUAAAGCAGUUUUAACAUAGUUUCUUUUAAUGGAGCAUGGUAUAGUUGGUACUCCUGGAUCUCCUAAUUUCUUUGGUAUUCCACCCUUAAAAGUAUAAUUAGCAAGCAUGGUGGAAAUUUCAGCUUCCGGUAUCUUUCUUUUAUUUGUAACAAUAUCUUUCAUAUACUUAGCAUAAGGAUUCAUUUUGAGCAUAUCAGUCAAACGCAUACGCAAAAAGAUAGGUCUAAUCAUUUCAGCAAAGCGCUCAAAAUCCUCAUCAUCCUUUUUCUUGGAUGGUUUGGGAGGAAAAGGCAUGGGUUUCUGAACCCAUGUUUCUCUUUCUUUCCGUGCUUCCUAGCAACAAAGUCUCUUUUAUCAUAACGUUGAUUAUUUGAUUGUGGGUUAUCAAGAUCAGCAGCAGGUUCAAUCUCUACAUCAUUAUCAUUACUAGGUUGAGCAUCAUCAUGAACAUCUUCAUUAAUAUUAUCACUAGGUUCAUGUUCAUUACCAGAUUGUGUUUCAGCAUCAGAAAUAUAAAUAUCAUUUGGAUUCUCAGGCGUUUCAGCAAUAGGUUCACUAGAAGCAUGCAAAGUCCUAUCAUUUUUCUUUUUCUUCUUUUUAGAAGGACUAGGUGCAUCAAUAUUUUUUCUCUGAGAAUCUUGCUCAAUUCUCUUAGGAUGGCCUUCAGGAUACAAAGGUUCCUGAGUCAUUUUACCAGUUCUAGUAGCCACUUUAACAGCAUAAUCAUUUUUCUUACUAUUUAAUUCAUUGAGCAAAUCAUUUUGAGCUUUAAGUACUUGUUCUACUUGAGUGGUAACCAUAGAAGCAUGUUUACUAAUGAGUUUAAGUUCACCUUUAACAUUAGCCAUGUAAUUACUCAAGUGUUCAAUCAUAUAAGCAUUUUGUUUUAAUUAUCUACCAAAAUAAGCAUUGAAGUCUUCUUGCUUAACCAUAAAGUUAUCAAACUCAUCCAGACAAUGGCUAGCAAUUUUAGUAGGAGGGAUUUCAGCUUUAUCAUAUCUAUAGAGAGAAUUUACCUUUACUACCUGUGUCGGGUUUUCAAGACCAUGAAUUUCUUCAAUAGGUGAAGGAUUAAGAUCAUAUGUUUCUUCAACAGGCGGUAAAUUAAGACCAUGUAUUUCUUCAAUAGGAGGUAAAUUCUUAACAUCUUCAGCUUUAAUACCUUUUUCUUUCAUAGAUUUCUUUGCCUCUUGCAUAUCUUCAGGACUGAGAAAUAGAACACCCCUCUUCUUCGGAGUUGGUUUAGGAAUAGGCUCAGGAGUUGGCUCAGGAAGUGUCCAAUUAUUUUCAUUUGUCAACAUAUUAUUCAAUAGAAUUUUAGCUUCAUCCGGUGUUCUUUCCCUGAAAACGGAACCAACACAACUAUCCAGGUAAUCUCUAGAAGCAUCGGUUAGUCCAUUAUAAAAGAUAUCAAGUAUUUCAUUUUUCUUAAGAGGAUGAUCGGGCAAAGCAUUAAGUAAUUGGAGAAGCCUCCCCCAAGCUUGUGGGAGACUCUCUUCUUCAAUUUGCACAAAAUUAUAUAUAUCCCUUAAAGCAGCUUGUUUCUUAUGAGCAGGGAAAUAUUUAGCAGAGAAGUAAUAAAUCAUAUCCUGGGGACUACGCACACAACCAGGAUCAAGAGAAUUAAACCAUCUUAGCAUCACCCUUUAAUGAGAAUGGAAAUAUUUUAAGGAUAUAAAGGUAGCGAGAUUUCUCAUCAUUAGUGAACAGGGUGGCUAUAUCAUUUAAUUUAGUAAGAUGUGCCACAACAGUUUCAGAUUCAUAGCCAUAGAAAGGAUCAGAUUCAACCAAAGUAAUUAUAUCAGGAUCAACAGAGAAUUCAUAAUCCUUAUCAGUAACACAGAUAGGUGAAGUAGCAAAAGCAGGGUCAGGUUUCAUUCUAGCAUUAAGAGAUCGCUGCUUCCAUUUAGCUAAUAACUUCUUAAGAUCACUUCUAUCAUUGCAAGCAAGAAUGGCUCUAGCAGAUUCUUCAUCCAGAACAUAACCCUCAGGCACAACAGGCAAUUCAUAUUUAUUAGGGGAGAGUCUUCAUCAUCACUAUCUUCAAUAUUAUCAGUUUCAAUAAUUUCAUUUUCUCUAGCCCUAGCAAGUUGUUCAUCAAGAAAUUCACCAAGUGGCACAGUAGUAUCAAGCAUAGAAGUAGUUUCAUCAUAAGUAUCAUGCAUAGCAGAAGUGGCAUCAUCAAUAACAUGCAACAUAUCAGAAUUAAUAGCAGAAGAAGGUUUAGGUGUCGCAAGCUUACUCAAAACAGAAGGUGAAUCAGGUGCAGAGCUAGAUGGCAGUUCCUUACCUCCCCUCGUAGUUGAGGGAUAAAUUUUUGUUUUUGCGUCUUUCAAGUUCUUCGUAGUGACCAGCAGAUAUAAAUCCCAAGUGACUCAAAGGAUAGAGCUAUGGUCCCCGGCAACGGCGCCAGAAAAUAGUCUUGAUAACCCACAAGUAUAGGGGAUCGCAACAGUUUUCGAGGGUAGAGUAUUCAACCCAAAUUUAUUGAUUCGACACAAGGGGAGCUAAAGAAUAUUCUCAAGUAUUAGCAGUUGAGUUGUCAAUUCAACUACACCUCAAUAACUUAGUAUCUGCAGCAAAGUAUUUAGUAGCAAAGUAAUAUGGAAGUAACGGUAACGGCAGCAAAAUUAAUAUUUUUGGGGUUUGUAGUGAUUGUAACAGUAGCAACCGAAAAGUAAAUAAGCGAAGAACAAUAUGUGAAAAGCUCGUAGGCAUUGGAUCGGUGAUGGAGAAUUAUGCCGGAUGCGGUUCAUCAUGUAACAGUCAUAACAUAAGGUGACACAGAACUAGCUCCAAUUCAUCAAUAUAAUGUAGGCAUGUAUUCCGAAUAUAGUCAUACGUGCUUAUGAAAAAGAACUUGCAUGACAUCUUUUAAUAGAGUACCGGACCAAAGCAUUAACACAUAGUGAAUACAUGAACUCCUCAAACUACGGUCAUCACCGGGAGUGGUCCCGAUUAUUGUCACUUCGGGGUUGCCGGAUCAUAACACAUAGUAGGUGACUAUAGACUUGCAAGAUAGGAUCAAGAACUCACAUAUAUUCAUGAAAACAUAAUAGGUUCAGAUCUGAAAUCAUGGCACUCGGGCUCUAGUGACAAGCAUUAAGCAUAGCAAAGUCAUAGCAACAUCAAUCUCAGAACAUAGUGGAUACUAGGGAUCAAACCCUAAUUUUAGGGCUUGGCGGCGGCUCCAUAUCGUAAAACGCGACGAAUCCUUCUCUCUGAUUUUUUUCUCCCCGAACACGAAUAUAUGGAGUUGGAGUUGAGGUCGGUGGAGCGUCAGGAGGCCCACGAGGUAGGGGGGCGCGCCCAGGGGGGUUUGGCGCCCCCCCGACCCUCGUGGACAGGUGGAGGCCCGCUUGACGUGGAUUCUUCUUCCAGUAUUUUUAUUAUUUUUCAAAAAUAAGUUCCGUGGAGUUUCAGGUCAUUCCGGGAACUUUUGUUUCUGCACAUAAAUAACACCAUGGCAAUUCUGCUGAAAACAACGUCGGUCCGGGUUAGUUCCAUUCAAAUCAUGCAAGUUAGAGUCCAAAACAAGGGCAAAAGUGUUUGGAAAAGUAGAUACGACGGAGACAUAUCACGAGUUUCUUAUUUGUUUGUGUCGGUGCGUGGGACUCGAGCGUAGCCUCCUACUGGAUUGAUACCUUGGUUCUCAAAAACUGAGGAAAAUACUUACGCUACUUUACUGCAUCACCCUUUCCUCUUCAAGGGAAAACCAACGCAGUGCUCAAGAGGUAGCACCAAACAACCGUGCGGUUCUCCGAUCUACCAAAGUUUGCUAGAACAUGACUUACAUUAUUUUGCUCUCUAGGAAUAUGAGUAACUACACACUCUCUUUGACCCAAAAGAAACUUGAUCUCAGAAAUUACCAUGGCGUAUAUGGAUCUAUUAUGUUCUGUUGAUGGGAUCAUCUUGACUGCCAUCUUGCUAUCACACUACAGGAUGACUGGAAAUCCCAUCCACUGAAGCGCCAAAGCCAAUCCUUCCAUGCAGCCAGCAAGCUCAGCAUGCAUGACGCCAUGGCAGNNNNNNNNNNNNNNNNNNNNNNNNNNNNNNNNNNNNNNNNNNNNNNNNNNNNNNNNNNNNNNNNNNNNNNNNNNNNNNNNNNNNNNNNNNNNNNNNNNNNNNNNNNNNNNNNNNNNNNNNNNNNNNNNNNNNNNNNNNNNNNNNNNNNNNNNNNNNNNNNNNNNNNNNNNNNNNNNNNNNNNNNNNNNNNNNNNNNNNNNNNNNNNNNNNNNNNNNNNNNNNNNNNNNNNNNNNNNNNNNNNNNNNNNNNNNNNNNNNNNNNNNNNNNNNNNNNNNNNNNNNNNNNNNNNNNNNNNNNNNNNNNNNNNNNNNNNNNNNNNNNNNNNNNNNNNNNNNNNNNNNNNNNNNNNNNNNNNNNNNNNNNNNNNNNNNNNNNNNNNNNNNNNNNNNNNNNNNNNNNNNNNNNNNNNNNNNNNNNNNNNNNNNNNNNNNNNNNNNNNNNNNNNNNNNNNNNNNNNNNNNNNNNNNNNNNNNNNNNNNNNNNNNNNNNNNNNNNNNNNNNNNNNNNNNNNNNNNNNNNNNNNNNNNNNNNNNNNNNNNNNNNNNNNNNNNNNNNNNNNNNNNNNNNNNNNNNNNNNCUGAGGCGGCGGCCUCGCUGGUGCGGACGGCACUCCUCCGGCGGCGGGGAGUGCUCGUCAGUGAGGUAGGCCGGAUCCCCUCGGCUGCGUGGGCAGCGAGGUCCCGGUGGGCGCUGGUCAUGGCGCGGGGAGGCCCCGGGCUCCCCUCGUCAGAUCGGAGGCGAUCUGGUCCGCUCGUGAUGCAUGACCUCCGGCCGGCCUGGAUCUCCGGCGUGCACGCGCCUGCUGACGUUGUGGCUGGUUCGGAGGUGGCGGCAGGGUGCUUGGCCGGGGGAAACCCUUGGCCGCUGGUGGCGGUCACGGCGUCGAUGGCGUCCCGGACGCCAUUCCCUCCUUGGUGGCGGCGCCGAGGCUAAACCUCCCCUGCCUCCCCCCUUCCCCUGCGCCCGGGUGAAAACCCUAGCCCCGGUGGUUAAGCGGCGGCGGCGCCACAGCGUCGUCACCUUCUUGAAGGCGCCGACUUGGGCAUGGGGAUGCUGGGCGUGCAUGGCGAGCUUGUCUGGAUCCUGGUGGCGGCCCGUCUGAUCUACCGCGUUGCAGCUCCGGGCAUGUCUCGUGACUGCGGUGCUUAUCUUCCGGCCGUGUCUCCGACGGCGACCUCGCCCUUCCUCACCUUGUACUUGCCGUGGUGGAGCGGUACUUCAUCUCACUCAUUGAUGGCGGCGGAGAUCGGCGGCAUGGAGCUGUGGAGGCUCGGCGUCCGAUGCGCGGAGAUGGACUCGCGCAGGAGGAGGUAGCUGUCUGGCGUCAUGGUGACGUCGAUGGCAGAAGUGGCCUUCACAAGGUAGAAGACUCAAUAUAAUCUGAAGAAGGACCUGUGGAAGAUGGCGGCGACGACACAAGAGUGCGUCUGUCCGGAUUGUGCUCCAGACCCGGUAUGUGGCUCGGCUGGGGCUUCCGGCUUUUGAUGUUAGGUUUAGGUGAGUGGUUUGGGUAGUGGCCCAGCCAGCAUCCCUUCAUCAUAUGGAUAAGAGUAGCGGCAUAUGUUGCCAAGAUGGUGGAUUCAGGUAUAUUGUUUGUAAUACUUAAGGUCCUCGAGAAUAAUUAAUAAAGUGGCCGUAUGCAUCUCCCAGAUGCAGAGGCCGGGGAUCAUCCUCCUUUUCUAAAAAAAGCCGAGAAGAUGAUGGCGCCGUCCUGGUUACGCAAUAUCAUGCCGGCGCCUGCAGUACCAUCGGCCGUAGACAGAGACCCAUCAACGUUCAGCUUGGUCCAUCUUGUAGGAGGAGGCUGCCAUUUAGAAGGUGGUGGCUUUGGAAUUUUUGCAUGCAACAAUGGCUGAGCCACACCAUCCUCAUCUGCUACCAUCUUCCCUUUCACCAGCUCCGCCGUGGAAUAGUGUUGCAGGUUCAACAAGGACACAUAGCUCUGCAGAAAACGUUUAGACGCUUCCACUGGUGGUCUUAGGUGCCUUUUUGUAGCGGGCUUCUCCUCAACUAGCAGUUCUUCAUUUGUGAUCUUCGGUUUGCUGGUUGUAGAUGUAGUGUUGUUAACUGUUCUUCCAGCCUCCCUUGUAUCGUUUGGCCGAUGUUGUGUGGUGGCCAUGUUCUUGUACUCCUGACCGGUUGAGGGCUUUGUUAAUUCAAAGCUGUGCUCUUCUUGAGCCUUUGUUCUAAAAAAACAAAAGAAAAACAAGAAUAUAAAACAAAUAAACCAAAGAAGAAAAAGGAAAAGAUAAAAGAAAAUGAAAAUAAAAAGGGAGAAAACCAAAUAAAAUAGAAGAAAAACAAUGAAAAGAAAAAAAAUAGUGAAAAAAAAGAAAGAAGCGAAGAAAUCUGGUGAAAAAAUAAGACACAACGAAAAGAAGAAAAAAGGAAAAACAAAGCAAUACCGGCUCUAUUACUCUCAACUAGAUCGCGCCCUAGAAAUACCUUAAAACUCUAAGCUCCCAAAAGAUGAAGCCUCCUCGCGGGUUUGGGUUGUGGUUAUCGCUCGGACCCCACCAGUAAGUCGCUGGCCCGCUAGUGUGUCUCGCUGCCAUGUGGGCCCUCAACAUUAGUUGGUCGUUGCCCCCGCUUCCAAAGUCAACCCAGCCUAUCUCUCCAGUUGGCCCUCCUGUUGGCCCAUGGUCUCCGCUGUCGUCGUCUUCCCCCCAAAUCCCGAAACCUCUCUGCGUGCGCACACCCAGCUGCUUGGCGGCGGGCAUGGCGCACCGUGGUGCGGCUCCUCCCUGGCACUGCCUCCAGGAGCACGUCCCUACUGCUUGGUGGCGGUGUACAGGGGUGCGGCUCCUCCACGGCGCUGCCUCCCGUCGCUGUCCUGAAUCUUGCGGCAACCCCCCGCGGUGGUAGCUCUCGGCCAGCACAUGGAGGCGCUCCGAGAGGUGGGUUUGACCCGCAGCAUCCAGCAGCACGGCGCGACUCCCCACCACCGGUGACUCCUUUCUCACAUGGACCACCAUACUGGUGGCCUCCGUACUUCAACUCUACCAAGACACACCGUCCCUCGGCUCCACAGAUCGCGGUCGCUGCACUUCUUUCCUCCGUUCCCAACUUGAACAAUUCCACUGGAAUAUAUAGGCCGGACAAAAUUUUCUUCAAUUGGUGGCACUAUGAGGAUAAAUUAGCAUAGUUGAUGCAGUCUUCAAAUGAAUUUACUUUCGAUUUGUGACACUACAGACGUGUUCUUUAACUGUUCGUACAGUUGCCCUUAGGCUACAAAGAUUAAAAGGUACUCCCUAUGCCCCAUAAUAUAAGAUCGUUUUGCAAUCUGUUUGGGACGGAGAGAGUAAUAUCUACAGAAAGAGUUGUACAACUAUAUAUUUCUGAGAGCUAAUCUUAUUUGUAGCGCAUUGUUUAGUUUUCAUGUUUAGGUGGUUGAAGUUAUUUUUUACUGCAUAACCCACAAAUUAAGCAACUGGCACCAUCUGUUGAGAAGGUCAUCAGCCUCAACAUUUCUGAGAUAUUGGAAGUACAACUCAAUUAGUUAUUAUAGCUCUCAGAUUAGAUCUCUGUUUAUUUAGAUUCGGAACAUUUUGCCCAAUGAUUAGAGUUAGAGCCUUGAACAACUUAGAUAUUUGACUUAUUUUUGUUCACUGGUUCAGUGCACACAUGGACAGUUGAAUCAAGAUUGCAUAUCACAUUAGUAAGUGACUAUACUAGGAAUGGAUUUAACUUCUGUCUGUGACCAAAGUUUUGGUUAUGACAUUGCAUUUGUGUGUUUCAGUUGUUCGUGCAAAUCCUCUUAAUAUACGAAGUUUGGAUGAUAUAGUAUUUAAAGGAAGAGUUGUGUUGUACAAGAAUAGUGAUUAAGCCAUGUUGAAUACUGCACAUAUAUCUUUUUGGAGCUAUUUUCUUCUCUAUAGCAUAUUAUUUCCAUGCCGCCCUGUUGCCACGGAGUCACGAACUCACCAUGAGUUCGGCGCUUCCGCCAUGAAUCUGACUCAUGGUCUGCACCGGUCCUUGUCGGUAGCGUAACCCCAGGAGGGAACCUUCUUUUAUAUGUACAUUGAUCUAUACUCCAUGCUCCCUUCAUGACCAUGCCAAUCGACCAGUAUUUUGAUUGUUUGUAUUAGAUAGGGGUGUUAAGCUUCAUGCACUAGCUAACGCAACCAAAAGUCCGAACUGAUCCACAUAUACUGUAACACUCCCUCUCACGUGUGACGGGGAAGACAAGUCAACACGUGCAAUCGGAAGGGAGUGAUGGCGCGCGAAACUCACGUAUGACUCAAGAGGCCUAUACAUGGACACAACGGGGGGUUACCAGCAAUUUUUAAUAAAUUGCGAAAGCCAGGACUCGAACUCAAGACCUUAGCUCUGAUACCAUGUUAAGCUUCAUGCACUAGCCAACGCAACCAAAAGUCCGAACUAAUGGAAAGGGUUAGUGCAAUCCACAUAUACUGUAACAAGGGGGAGGGAGAGAAUGUCAACCAUGUUUUCUUAUUGUGAAUGUGCAUCCUUGUGAUAUCCUAAUUUGGGAUUUCUAUGACUGUUGAGAUCAAAAAAAUGUUGCAUGGUGCAUUUUUUAUGACUGAAUAUUAGGUUAAAAUCAUUACAUAAUCUAUUUGUCUUAUUUUAUCUUUUGCCUAACUACUAGAACGAAUGAAAAACAUAUAGAAUAAAUGAUGAGAUGUGGGCAUUAUUAUGCUAUAGGUGUGCAACCUCCUUCAUGCCUAUACAGUUUCAAUUGUCUGUUAGAUUCAAUCUCCUAUGUCCACCAUCAUUUAGUACGCCAAGGAAUUUUGUUUUCCACAUGUAUGUUUGGUAAUAGUCAUACAUGAUUCAUGUUAGUUGUGUAGAACUUGAUUCCGAACUAAAUUCCAUACUGAUGUAUGUGUUUCUACUUCUUUUUUGCGGGUACUAUUCUCUACUUAUGUUAGCUGCUUACACUGGAAAAAAAUAUUUGUUAUGUGAUCUUGGUGUUCAACCUUGGAUGCAUAUAUUGUGAACUAAAUGGGAGAUAAUAUGUUUGAGACUCAUAAUUAUGAGAACUAUUGUCUGAUUAUUUAUCUAGGGCUAAUUUGUUAUAAGGCAUUUCUUUUGAUAUACAUAGAAUAGAAGGUUAAUGACUUUAUGCAUUGUGAAAAAAUCAUGUCGUCAAAAUUUGGUCUCCGCAAUUCUAAUGUGAUGUUCAAUUCCUUGCGUGUGUGUGCCUUCCAAAGUUUUCAGAAGAAGGGUAUGUAUCUUAGACAUUUUAAGUCAAUGUAUUUCUCAUGAUGGACUUGCAUCUCUUGAAUCACAUCUAGCAGGAGUGUUUUGCUUACUGUCUAAAGUUGCCAAGUUGAAAUUCUGCUACGGUAAGGAAUCAUGUGAUGAUAUAAAGUGCUACAUGGUUAAUCAUAUUGCUUGAAUAUUUCGGUAUGCAAAUGCUACAAAGUGCACUUCGAUUAGUGAUUUUACCUGUUGUGGUCCAUAUUUUGUCUAUAUGUUUGCCAUUGCUUUUGAUUUGGUGUUCCAUUACAUGAGAAGGGAGAAGGGACUGUUCAUUUUCUAUAAAGUUCCAUGCUAUAGUUUGCAGAUGAAGCUUCUAUUUCUAAGAUUCUAAGUUCCCUAGGAAUGCUUACUGGUGUAUUUAGGCUUUGGGGGUUGCUGGUGGGCCUACCUGUAAGGGGGUGAAUCGCAGAUGUUUGUUGCGCUUGAGUUCACUCCGAGUUGAACGGGUGACGCUGGUAUGUUGAUCUCUGUGUUACUUUAAUUGAAAGCCAACUAAGCUCAGGUGAAGGAUGGCGCGGCAAAGCAUGCGUCACCCUCUAGUUUACUUGAAGCUGAAGCUGGCCUAGUUGCUAGCAGAGAUGCAGCUCACCCAGGAGACCCGGGUUUGAAUCCUGGUUUUGCCCAUUUUUCUUCUUUCUUUCUUUUAAACGUUCGCUAACACGCCAGCCCAAUAGCUACAAUGCGGAGGUAUUCGCUUCAGCGAAGCACUCCCCCCGGUACAUUUAUUUUUGAGACAUACUCCCCCACAAACGAGUGAUCGUUCGAGAAGAUUACACGAUAUUGGAUGCUUUGACGGUCACCGCCCCGAGGACGCCUCGGCGGUUGACCAAUGACCAUUGGCUGUUCUACGCCCACAAGUAGGCCGACCCUGCACCUGCGGGGCUCAAGCUCGACCUACGCGAGGGAGGAUUCAACGCCGGGGGCAUGGCGUCGGCGAACUGUUUGAUGUAGGGGCUAUUUGGAUUGCCACCAACGCCGACCCUACCAAAAAAUUGGUUCGCCCAUGAGAAUUGAAAGCUGUUUGGACUGUCACCGAAAUAUUGGCUCGCCCACAACGCCCGGAACGACUCCAUGUUAUUUUUGCCAACGCAUGGGCGCGCGGAGGGUGCCGAAAUCGGUCGCCAAAAAAUUGGCGAGCACACCUCUCACCCGCUUAGUACGUGGAUCCCGUACCGUGUUAGUUAAACGAGUAGUCAACGGAUUAAUCAGAUGCGGAAAUGAACGAUACGUCCGCGUAUUUUCUUUUGACGCGAAAUUAGGAAGUGAUUGUUUGAAUCGAUUACUCCCUCUCGUCGACCUUUUACUGCUACCGGUUGUCUUCUAAGCAAAACUAAUGGUUUCAGUUUCCGUAAAGGCAGCCGUGAGCUUGGUCUAGUUCAAAAGUUGUACAUGUUUUUUUCUAUAUAUGGGACGCCCGUAUAUAUUUACUCUUACAUGCGAAUUUCGUUCUUUUCUUGAGAAUUGCUAAUUUCAUAUUAAAAAUAUAAUGUUUUAUAUUUAUUUUUUAUUGCCUCAACAUUACAAGUAAAUUAAAAUCAAUCCAAAUUGCCAAACCAAAUGGAGAACUUGCCAAAUUUUUGGGAGGUGCAAUGGCUACAAUCCAAACAAUAACAACUUGCCAAAUUUUUGGUCAUGCCCUCACUUUGGUCAUGCCAAAAUUUUGGUUGGGCAAGUUAGGGCACAAACCAAACAGCCCCUAAUGCUCAGGAGCGAGGACUAAGUCUAACAUGCACGCGUGGCAUUUUUUGCCAACUCAGCAGAACGGACAGGCCCCAUCAGUCAGGAAGAGCAUUCAACGAGAAUCCAGAGAGGGGAGAUCUGGUUUGGAUGGGGAUUGGGUGACAGUAGGGGCACGCCACGCGGAGCCAGGCUGACCUUCUACUAUCCAAACCCAAUCACCAGGUGGUCUAGUUCCACUAUAGGGGAUUGGUUCCCCUAGAACCAAACAGGCCCUAAACUCCCUCAACCCCUCUCUCUGAGUUCUUGCACAGGUUAACAGCACCAAGCAUGCUUGACACCUCCCACCAUGCACCAAGCAGCAAGAUAUAAAUCAAUCAAGUAAUGUUUCACAAUGUCUGGUCAUGUGAACUGAACAACUAUUCAUCAGACAAGGUAAUCAAUCAAAAUCAGGUACAAUGAAAGUGGUUACUCAUAGGACUGAAGCACCAACUACGUCAAUCAGCAUCCAGAACCAUGUUUCUGACCAAGCAAACCGCAAACUGCCUUGUUACCAGCAAAGAACUUUGAAUGGCUUAUCUCUGUCGUCAUCUGUACAAAAUUAGAAUAAAAAUUCGCUGAGCAUAACACCAUAAGACAGGGUAUCACAUAGCUAUUGAUAUCAGUCAGCAUCAAAUAAGGCAAAUGGUUCAUUUGGACAGCAUAAAUAUUUAGAGAAGCUCCGCUAUCACACAAACCAAGCACUUGUACAGAACCUACAGUCAGCGAGCAUAGGCCAAAUAUUUGUACAGGGCCUAAGGUGUACUGUUCUUUGUCCCCUUUUCAAGCAGGGCAUGGGAAAAUAAAUACUCCCUCAAUAAAUAAAUAUAACACCCUUUUUUCAGAACGAAGACUACUAGCAGAUAUAACUGUUAUUGUUCUUCAGAAACCUGGAUACAACAAAUUGACUGCCAUCUAGUAUAAUUUAGCUUAAAACUAUCAGGAAAAGAAAAGAGAAAUCAGAACAAAUGUCAACAGGUCAAGGAAAUCAACUUACCACACCAGCCAUGAAAGAAGCAGCAUGAUAAAUACUUUGAUAUCCCAUCUUGCAAUGAUAAAUCACAUAGAGAGGAUACAAUAGUCGAUGGCACUUCAGCAUGAUAUUGUCCAUUAAAACUGCUGAAUAUGAAUUGUAACACAACUUCAUCAGCACAUGACAGGAUUGGUAACCAUCAUAGCAGUUCAUGAAUUAAUGAAAACAGUAUAUACCAAAAGCUGUAGAACAACUGUAAUAACAUGCACUACAAACCAAAAACAAACUGAGUUCACCUUGGUAGGCUAUUGAGAGGGAUUUGUGACAUUUAGCAAAUAGAGGGCCCACAAUGGAAUAGGAGUUCUCUCCUCAAGAAAAUAAUGCAGCCUACAGCUAACUGAUUUAUUCUAUAUUUUGCAAACAAAAAAUUAUACUGUUGUGACUUGAAAUAUCAGAAUACUUUUGAGUGCCAGCAAAGAAAACAUUACACUUUAUGAGUCUACAUACCCUGAUAACACAUGUUCAUUGGAACAAUUCAGGUCAAAGCUGUAAAAGAUGAACUCCCGACUCAUCGAACAGGAGGAGCAUAGUCAUGCUUUUCCACUUCCAUCCCUCAUUUUCCCCAGGCAUCUUACAGCAUAUACUUUGUUUAGAUGGCAAUAACUGGAACUCUUCCAGUUGCAAGAGUGCCUAUGUACUCAGGUCUGUGGGAUUUGAGGCCAGCAGUAACUUCCCCCGGUUGCCAAUUUCCAUCAAUAAUGAUGCAGCCAAAAUUUUAAUGGAUGGGCUAAUAGUUGGAAUGUAAGCAAAUACCAUAUAAAUGAAGAUAUAUAGUACUCCCUCCGUUCCUAAAUAUUUGUCUUUCUAGAGAUUUCAACAAGUGACUACAUACGGAGCAAAUGAGUGAAUCUACACUCUAAAGUAUGUCUAUAUACAUCCGUAUGUGGUAGUUCAUUUGAAAUCUCUAAAAAGACAAAUAUUUAGGAACGGAGGGAGUAUAAACUUAGCGCCCCUGCUGCAUGAUGGGCUAAUAGUUGGAAUGUAAACAAAUACCAUAUAAAUGAAGAUAUAUAGUAUAAACUUAGUGCCCUGCUGCAUGAUGGGCUAAUAGUUGAAAUGCAAGCAAAUACCAUAUAAAUGAAGAUACAUAGACUUAAUGCCCCUGCUGCAUGAUCCACAGAUACAUUUUGUUUUUACUCUAAAGACAUUUUUGAACAAGAAUGUUGAAAAAAUUCCAGAUAUAUUUCCUCUGAAAUAUCUACAUAUCACCCGAUAUCCGACAUCCAGUAUGUUCAAGCCAAACCAAUACAAACCCUAUAUAUGAUAUUUUAAACCUUGGCACUAACCGAACAAGCCUGAAAGGUAGGACUGCCCUUUCGUUCAUGUUGUCAAAGAGGAAUAACAUGUCCAGCGUGCAUCAUUGCAUCUCAUAACUCCUAUAUAAUUUUAAUCAAAAAAGGGAUUACUCUUAUAAGAGUACACUAACUCACAAAAGCUUUGUUGCUCUUCAUCUCAAGAACUAUGCAGCUCAGACAAGGGCCACUUCCUCUGAAGAACCACGGCUGAUCUCAGCUAGUCUUGAUGUCUCCUACACUCCUGUGUCAGCCAUCGACGGUUACUCUCUUGUUUGCGGCCGUACCUACAAAUGCAUCGUUAUAUGGUUCAAAUAAAACGAGACCACAAAACUGGCCUCCCGAUCUGCAUUCUUGCAGGCAUGGGGCAAGAUGUAGCUGCAGGUUUGAGACAAGAUGUGGACAGAAAUUCAAAACUUAACUAAUAUCCAACCUUCACAUAAGAGCUGCAGAAUGCUUCCCAUUUAGGUUUGCAGGUUAUCAUUCACAAAGUUCCUGUUCACAUUCUCAAAACAGACGGGGCACUUACCGUGGAAAGUUUCAGUCAGCAGAAUUUCCAAGUUGACAAACAAAACAAAGGAAUUCAUCAUGUACGUGGAUCUCAAGAAAACAAAGGAACUCAGCAAAGCACAGCUACCAAAGAACUGAACAUGUUACUCCAUGAUGCACUCGUCCGAUGACAAUGAGAUCAGGAGUCAACAAAUGCACCAUAAUCUAUACGACUCCAAUGCUGUAUGUUAAAAUGUCUGUGCAAGAGAUGCACCACGCAUUACUAUUGGACAUCAUGAAUGCUGUAUGUAUUGUUUCUCUGGCAGUUCACCAACUUCCCUAAUAAAUUUAUAAAUUUACUACAACAAAAGAACACAAUCAUAACAAAAAUUACUAGCUGUGACUGACUAUUACCAUGCGAUAAACCUUCAUACUUCAUAUCAAUCUCCAAUUCUCAACUCGAGAUAAAGUUCCAUUUCUAUAUUCAUGAUUAUCAAGAAGUUUAUAUUGAAUGUGGCUUAUUUAAUAUGGCUUCAAGUGUAGAAGAAUCUUUUACGGGUUGAUGAAGUCAUGAAAAACAGAUAAGCAGCAGUAAAUAAACCUGAGCUGUGUCUUCCUAUUAUCCUGUUGUCCCAUUGAUCAGAGAAGAAUACUUUGUCUCACAAGUGGGUAUGACCCCGUGAACACUGGUACGCAGGUACACAAUCAUAUUCAACAGCAAAUCAGGUGCUUGUAUUGGAUAGUUUCUCCAGUUCUGCUAGUGUUCGUAUAAGUGGCAAUUGCAACCUCUCAGUCUCAGGAAGCCCAGUGGAAAUGCCCUGAUAAAGAUGCAUGAAUGAUCAGAUGUGGUGGGCUUCUCAUCUGAAGAAAAGGGGUAUGAAAUAGUGCAUAAACAUUACUUCAACAUACAUAUGGCUGAUAAAACAGUACCUAAGCACAAUAUAUGACAAUUUCUUAGAUUAAGAAAUCUAACCAAAGAAAAGGAGAAAUGUAGGAGCAAGGAUACCUAUAAAUAAAGUAUAGUCCUUCAUGGAUUACCAGUCCAAUAAGCAAAAUAAAAGUCUUUCAACUCCUGAAAAGGUCCAUGAUACCUUAUCUUCAAUUGCCGGCAGUAUCUUGAUUCCUUUGCUUCAACAAAGCCAGCAUAAGUUCAUGUUUCGCGACUUUCAACUAAAAGCUGCAUGUAACAAUUUGGUGUCUGUUUUGAAGUUCGUAUUGAGUAAUAGCACAUCUGUUCUCUCACAAUUUGAAUUCCGCAUCAAAACUAAACCAAGCCUCUUUCCAAGAGACGCCAUCUUUUAAAAAAAAAACAAAUAACAUAAAAGCGACUCAAACCUCAUUAAUGUAACAUAAAAGCAACUUACACCCCAAGAAUAUAGCAUACAAGUUAUCAUUCAAUAGAACUAAAAACAAAGGCACCAUUCAACAGUAUGAAAUGUUUUAGACAACUCAAACCAUUAGUAACAGCCACAAUUCUAACUAAACAUAACCAAAAAUGGACGCUUUGAAGCUGAAAGUUGUUCCCACACACAAUCACUAGGACUUCUAUUUCUAUCUUCUCUUGGCGAUACUUGAUAACUUUAGCCUGUUCU